rnacentral:rRNA from 1 species
UACGUAGGGUGCAAGCGUUGUCCGGAAUUAUUGGGCGUAAGGGCUCGUAGGCGGUCCGUCACGUCGGCUGUGAAAACCCGGGGCUCAACCCCGGGCCUGCAGUCGAUACGGGCGGACUAGAGUUCGGCAGGGGAGACUGGAAUUCCUGGUGUAGCGGUGAAAUGCGCAGAUAUCAGGAGGAACACCGGUGGCGAAGGCGGGUCUCUGGACAGUUCCUGACGCUGAGGCACGAAGGCCAGGGGAGCAAACGGG